GGCAUUGCCGGGUAGCUACGUUCGGAUAGAAUAACCGCUGAAAGCAUCUAAGCGGGAACCCCCCCUCAAGAUUAGAACUCCCAACAUUAGUAAGAAGACACCUUGUAGACCACGAGGUUGAUAGGCAGGCUGUGUACGGAUGGUAACAUUUUUAGCAGACCUGUACUAAUCAGUCGUUCGGCUUAAUCAC
rnacentral:rRNA from 1 species